UACGGAGGAUCCAAGCGUUAUCCGGAUUUAUUGGGUUUAAAGGGUGCGUAGGCGGCCUAUUAAGUCAGGGGUGAAAGACGGUAGCUUAACUAUCGCAGUGCCUUUGAUACUGAUGGGCUUGAAUGAACUAGAGGUAGGCGGAAUGUGACAAGUAGCGGUGAAAAUGCAUAGAUAUGUCACAGAACACCAAUUGCGAAGGCAGCUUACUAUGGUUUUUAUUUGACGCUGAGGCACGAAAAGCGUGGGGGAUCAAACAGG
rnacentral:rRNA from 1 species